rnacentral:rRNA from 1 species
CCUACGGGAGGCAGCAGUGGGGAAUAUUGCACAAUGGGCGAAAGCCUGAUGCAGCAACGCCGCGUGAGGGACGACGGCCUUCGGGUUGUAAACCUCUUUUAGCAAGGAAGAAGCGAAAGUGACGGUACUUGCAGAAAAAGCGCCGGCUAACUACGUGCCAGCAGCCGCGGUAAUACGUAGGGCGCAAGCGUUAUCCGGAAUUAUUGGGCGUAAAGAGCUCGUAGGCGGUUUGUCGCGUCUGCUGUGAAAACCCGAGGCUCAACCUCGGGCCUGCAGUGGGUACGGGCAGACUAGAGUGCGGUAGGGGAGAUUGGAACUCCUGGUGUAGCGGUGGAAUGCGCAGAUAUCAGGAAGAACACCGAUGGCGAAGGCAGAUCUCUGGGCCGUAACUGACGCUGAGGAGCGAAAGGGUGGGGAGCAAACAGGCUUAGAUACCCUGGUAGUCCACCCCGUAAACGUUGGGAACUAGUUGUGGGGUCCAUUCCACGGAUUCCGUGACGCAGCUAACGCAUUAAGUUCCCCGCCUGGGGAGUACGGCCGCAAGGCUAAAACUUAAAGGAAUUGACGG